GCAGAUAGCUUAACAAAAACAUUAGAUUGUGAAUCUAAUAAUAAAAGUUCAAAACUUUUUAUCUACC
rnacentral:tRNA from 1 species